rnacentral:tRNA from 6 species
GGAGUGAUGCUCGAGUGGUUGAAGAGGCACGCCUGGAAAGCGUGUAUACGCCAAAAGCGUAUCGGGGGUUCGAAUCCCCCUCCCUCCGCAA